GGAGGAGUCGUCGUCGUCGGCGGCGGCGCGGCGGCCGCGGUCGACGCCGAGCGCCGUGCUGGACAGGAUCGAGUCCCUGGCGGCGUACGACUGGUCCGGCCCGCUGAGGACCAGGGCGAGGAACUUCUACCGGCUGAGGGGCAGCAUUAGCGAGCACGGCCACCGCCCUUCCGACGACGGCAGCGUCGAGGGCGACUGGAUGUAGCGAUUCCAUCCCAUUCUGUAAUUGUAUAGCCCGCGCUAGGUGAUGCUUCUUCUCGAUCCGAUCCGAUCCCAUCCGAUUUUGAUGCCAAGAACCCCUGCACUGGUUCUAGAUCAUUUUCUAAUCUAGUAGUGGAUGAUGCGUCGUGCAUGCGUUUUGGGCCAGAGGUUUGUUUCCUUCUUUUCCGAGAGCGCGCAAACUAAGCACCUUGCCUCACUCUUCAAGGAGCUGCAAAGUUAAAGCUUCAGACGAGGACACUGAGUUUCUACGAAAUCACUAGUCAGCGAAUACACCUUUCAACGAUCACUUCCACCAUCACAGGUAGUGACAAGUGGCGCAGCAUGCGUGUCAUUUAUGCAACGUGUGAGUUUUUCUUUUUUUCGUAGAUCCGUAUUUUCAAAAUGUUUUAUCUCCUAAAUCGUGCGUUCAAAUCUCG
rnacentral:lncRNA from 1 species